rnacentral:rRNA from 1 species
UACGUAGGGACCGAGCGUUGUCCGGAAUCAUUGGGCGUAAAGAGCGUGUAGGCGGCCAUUUAAGUCCUGCGUGAAAUCCUGCGGCUCAACCGCAGGCGGUCGUGGGAAACUGGAUGGCUAGAGUGCGGGAGAGGAGAGUGGAAUUCCUGGUGUAGCGGUGAAAUGCGCAGAUAUCAGGAAGAACACCCGUGGCUAAGGCGGCUCUCUAGUACGGUACUGACGCUGAGACGCGAAAGCGUGGGGAGCGAACAGG